GCGGUAUCCAACUCGGUGGCAUCGGCCUUGAAGCUGAAGGUCUCAUUGUACACAGGAUUGAUGGAGCCCAGCACAGCUGAAGUCUUCUUGCACUUGACAAACUUGUUGUGGUUCAUCAGAGACACUUUGACAAACACACCUGGGGAACAGUGAGCACUAGUGGGCUGGCAGAGGCGGGCGGGAGCCGAGCCCCUGCCUGUGGGAGGUCCGGCAAGGAGGGCACGUGCCCAAGCUAGGUGCCAGGGCCCCACCCCUCACACAGUGCUGUGGCCCCGCGGGCGUGACCAGAGGAAGCCGCUGAGUGCACUGCCCUGCAGCCUAGGCGGGGCUCCACUCCCUUCCUUUUCCUUCCUCUUUGCAUCAAGAAAGUACACACGGCUCGGGCAGGCCCUGGUUUACCAGAGCCUGGCACCACAUGCCUGUCCCUCCCUGUUGGGGGGGCUGCUCACUGGGUCCCCAGGCUCCCUGGGGCCCCUUAAACACCUUGUACAGAGAGUUAAGAUUUGGUGGGUGAGGGUCAGAGUCACAGUGGAAGGUCUGGAUCCUGCCUGGCUUACGGUGACCCCAGACGUGAACACAAACAGGUGCUGAAGGGGUCAGAGAACCCCCAGAGAGCUUCCCGCUUCCUCCCAGCCGUCCAUGCGACACACUCACAUGGUCCCCUUUGAAUUCCACUGCCAUUUUAAGGACAGGGCAACUGUGGUCUGGAGAGUUUAAGGGGCUUGUGCAGUCCUGUGGACCAGAGCUAAGGAGUCACACCCAGGUCUGAGCCAGCUGGGGCCUUCCCGGGAAUGGUGGGCUGGGGGAAACAUUUCCCUGGGCUGGACCAUUUGUGGUGUCACCUCUCACAGCUGUCUGACCUAGAUGGGAAUCCAAAUGUGGAUAUUUCAGGUUGCUCCAGGGAGUCUGAUGGCCAGUGUGACAACAGGACCUCAAGCAGCCCCUCCCUGCCCAGGGGCAGGUCUGUUCCCCUCUGUCCCAUGCUGCUCAGGGCCUAGGCCCUCCUCCCUGAGUCACUGUUAUAGGGUGGUGUGCGGGAUGCUGAGGGCUGACGCUGCCAGCAGGAGCUGGACCCUGUGCACACCUGCCGGCUGAUGCUCAGUGGCACAGGCAUGGUAACCUCGACCUUACCUCCAGGCUCUCGGCCUCCAGGUCUCUCCAGAUGACACGCCGGCAGUCCCCCGCCAGGGUCUCAUUCUUCAAGGGGAAUAGCACCUGGCCCAGGAGCUGGUGCUUCCUCUGCCUGUCCACGUGGUAGACAGAGAACUUCAGCACCCUCUGGGUGACAGUCUUACUGGACACCUGGGGGAGACAAGGACACCGGCCAGGGUCAGGAGUGGUGGUAGGGGAUGGGAUGGUGUGACUCGUUAUUCUGGAUAUGGGUGCUUUUGAGAACGGGUGUCUCAACCAGGGACCCACACCCCAAACCUAGGGAUUUUCAAGGGACCCUGCUUAGCAGCAGAGCUGUGUACCCCUGGAAAGUGGGGGUAGGUGCCAGGACCUUGCUAUGCAGAGUGUGGUCCGAGGACCUGCAGCAUCCGUACACCACCACCUGGAGCCCUGUUAGAAAUGCAGGAUCUUGGGCCCCAGCCCAGACCCAUGAAUUGGAAUCUGCCGUUUAACCGGAGCACCAAGUGACACGGCUGCACGGUGAGUGUGGCCCCGCCACCACCCAGCGCUGUAGCAAAGGCCCAGGAGCCCGGGCACCGGCCUGUCUCUGCUGUCAGAGCUGGGCAUACCAGUCCUCCCCUCCCUGAGAUUUGGCCUCCUUGCCUGUGAAAUGGGGGUCAUGGGUCUUCCUCUCUGGUUGUAAAACCCCAAUCACAGUGUCUGACCUACAGCAGAUGGCCCAUUAAUAUUGAUUUUCUUCUCUUUCCCCUUCUCCCUUUCCCCCUUCCCUCUGGAGGCACAGAGGGACUGGAUCAAGUUGGGGCGAGAUAGAGUGGGUGAGUGAUGAGCCAAGAAAAAUUUUCCUGCAAGCAUGACGUGUCGCACGUCAGCAAGGCUGCAGCCUUGGAUUCUGACGUCUGGAGAAGAGCGAUUCACCUUUGAAUUCUCACAGCCCUGGCCUCAGAAAGAUGGCCCGGGACCAGGCCUGAUGGCACCCCUCUUCCCAGCUCUCAGCCAGGGCGGAAGGCACAAGUGAUGGCCCUGGCCUCAGCAGUCACACUGCUCCUGAAAGCUGACUGGCUGCACCUCACCUCUUGGCUAGCUUGCCACCCAGCUCUUGAGAACAUGUUUGUCCAAGGCCUCUUGGCAGGUCUCGAUGGCUACUUCCCCAAGGGCCCCCAGUCACCUGCUAAGGCUCCCAGGCCCCUGUGAAACUGGCUCGGUGCCCCAACAGCCUCUCCACUUCCAGAGCCUGAGCCGGCCAGCCCAAAGUGCAGCAAGGCACCACACCUACCCUGGGAGGGUACUUGGGCCCCCGCCCUGGCCUCUUACAGCACAGGAAGCUCCUGCACUCACGCUAAGGCCCAUCUUUUGCCCUCCUUGGAUAAACUUGCCAGAAACCCCAUACUGCUCCACACCUUUGGGAUAAUUUCCCUGAGCCCCAUAGGCCAGGGCCUGGCAUUCAGUAGUUGCUCUAAAAUUGUGUUUUCACCCACUCUUCUCCAGGCAGUCAGGACAGGGGAGCCCAGGCCUCUGGUCACUACUCACCAAGUCUCUCCCCUGCCUCUCUAUCAGGGAUCGGCUCCGAUAGGCCUUAACCUAGCAGGCUAGGUAAAGCAGAGCUGGUGGCAUCAAGGGUCCCGGGGGCUGCAGUGCCCUGGCUGGUACAGGAGGCUCAGCUCUCCUGAAGGUCUGCACCUUCCCAGCAACGCGGAGGGCACCAGACCCUGCCUUCUCCAGAGGCUGUACCUGGAAGAUGAAGUGCUCGUCAAACUGCGGGUUGGAGGUUUUGCGUUUGGUCUUGGACUGGAGGAAGCGCCGUUCAUCGGGCAGCAGCUCCUCCAGGAAACCUUCUCAGCAUGAAGGCGUUGCAUGGCCAGGCUGGGGAUCCUAGCAGAGUCCUGCCUCCUGGGAUUGGCCCCCAUCCUUGGAGGUCAGGACCUGUUUCAAGGACACAGUGCCCAUCACCCCUCCUGGUCCCCUUCCAUGGUGUCUAGGGCAUGACUCAGUGAUAAAGCAUUGCCUUUCUUCUUCCUCUUCAAAUUAGAAGAGCCAAGGUGAUUAUUGGGUGGUUCCUGGGAUGGUCUUUUGGUAGAUCGUCAGGGCAAAGAGGUGGCAGAAAGCUGUGCUUGCAGCCCCUACCAUUCCGUCCUCUUGUUAACCAACCCAUCACCCUAGAGUGGGAGCCAGCACAAGUUCUGUACAUGGCAUACCUGGGUUCCAAUCCCAGUCUGUUGCUUACAGCCUGUUUGUGACUAUGUAAAAUGGGGUGAUAAUUCCUCCCCGCCAGAGUCAUGGUGAGGUCUCACUCCAAAUCAGCACCCAAGGCCAUUUCUCAGCCUCAUGGGGUGCAUAAAGCACUUCAUAAAUGAAAGCACCCAGAAACAGUGGUCCCUGGGCAACCCUGUCAUCCCUGGCUGGUUCAGGUUGUGUUCCAGAGCCAAGCUGGUGAAAGCAGAUGGGGCCACCUGAGCAGACCCUGACCUCUGGGCAUCCCUGGCAGGGACACUCACCAAGGCCGCCACUGGUGGUGUGAGGCAGAAGCUCUGAUGCCGGGCAGGAGUCCCAUGGGGCAUGGGUCCACUCUCCACUGUGCAGGGGCACCCAAUCUCGGCCUUGAAGGGAAGGGGGCACCACGAAUGGCACAUCUGGUGGCCUGUCCAGAGUCAGGGAGACAACAUGUAGGUAGCAAGUAAAUGGUGUGGUCUCAGAGCGCUUAGCCAAGACGGCUGAGCACCAGGGGCUAGAGGAAGAAAAGCCAUCAGGAGCCAGGAAGAGGCCAGGGCACCAUUUUCUGGGCCCAUAUCAGGCAACACACACACACACACACAUACACAACAGUGGGAUUUGGAGAAGGAACACAGCCCCUGACAGUGUCAGCCAGUCUGGGUUUGAAUUCAUGUUCUGCCACUUACUAAUUGUGUUCUCUGGACCUGUUGCUUAU